AGAACGAACGCUGGCGGCAGGCUUAACACAUGCAAGUCGAACGCCCCGCAAGGGGAGUGGCAGACGGGUGAGUAACGCGUGGGAACGUGCCCUUCGCUUCGGGAUAGCCUCGGGAAACUGGGAGUAAUACCGAAUACGCCGUAUUGGGAAAGAUUUAUCGGCGAAGGAUCGGCCCGCGUUGGAUUAGCUAGUUGGCGGUGUAAUGGACCACCAAGGCGACGAUCCAUAGCUGGUCUGAGAGGAUGAUCAGCCACACUGGGACUGAGACACGGCCCAGACUCCUACGGGAGGCAGCAGUGGGGAAUCUUGGACAAUGGGCGCAAGCCUGAUCCAGCCAUGCCGCGUGAGUGAAGAGGCCUUAGGUUGUAAACUCUUUCGCCGGUGAAGAUAAUGACGGUAACGGAGAAGAAGCCCGGCUAACUUCGCGCCAGCAGCCGC
rnacentral:rRNA from 1 species